rnacentral:rRNA from 1 species
GAUGAGCGCUGGCGGCGUGCCUAAUACAUGCAAGUCGAGCGAACAGACGAGGAGCUUGCUCCUCUGACGUUAGCGGCGGACGGGUGAGUAACACGUGGAUAACCUACCUAUAAGACUGGGAUAACUUCGGGAAACCGGAUCUAAUACCGGAUAAUAUAUUGAACCGCAUGGUUCAAUAGUGAAAGACGGUUUUGCUGUCACUUAUAGAUGGAUCCGCGCCGCAUUAGCUAGUUGGUAAGGUAACGGCUUACCAAGGCAACGAUGCGUAGCCGACCUGAGAGGGUGAUCGGCCACACUGGAACUGAGACACGGUCCAGACUCCUACGGGAGGCAGCAGUAGGGAAUCUUCCGCAAUGGGCGAAAGCCUGACGGAGCAACGCCGCGUGAGUGAUGAAGGUCUUCGGAUCGUAAAACUCUGUUAUUAGGGAAGAACAAAUGUGUAAGUAACUAUGCACGUCUUGACGGUACCUAAUCAGAAAGCCACGGCUAACUACGUG